AGCUGCAGAAGAAGCACCGGCUAACUCCGUGCCAGCAGCCGCGGUAAUACGGAGGGUGCGAGCGUUAAUCGGAAUUACUGGGCGUAAAGCGCAUGCAGGUGGUUUGUUAAGUUCAGAUGUGAAAGACCCGGGGCGUCAACCUCGGAAUUGCAUUUGUAAACUAGGCAGACUAGAGUACUGUAGAGGGGGGUAGGAAGUUUCAGGUGUAGCGGUGAAAUAGCGUAGAGAUCUGAAGGAAUACCGGUGGCGAAGGCGGCCCCCUCGGACAGAUACUGACACUCAGAUGCGAAAGCGUGGGGAGCAAACAGGAUUAGAUACCCUGGUAG
rnacentral:rRNA from 1 species